rnacentral:rRNA from 1 species
UACAGAGGCCUCGAGCGUUAAUCGGAAUCACUGGGCUUAAAGGGUGCGUAGGCGGCGCUGCAAGUGCCUUGUGAAAUCCCAUCGCUUAACGAUGGAACUGCUCGGUAGACUGCAGCGCUUGAGGUUGGUAGGGGCUGCCGGAACUCUAGGUGGAGCGGUGAAAUGCGUAGAUAUCUAGAGGAACGCCCAAGGCGAAGGCAGGCAGCUGGGCCAAUUCUGACGCUGAGGCACGAAAGCGUGGGGAGCAAACGGG